rnacentral:rRNA from 1 species
UCGUGCUUUGCGGCACGAGUUGUAGAUUGCAGGUUGGAGUCUGUGUGGAAGGCGGUGUCCAAGUCCCUUGGAACAGGGCGCCCAGGAGGGUGAGAGCCCCGUGGGAUGCCGGCGGAAGCAGUGAGGCCCUUCUGACGAGUCGAGUUGUUUGGGAAUGCAGCUCCAAGCGGGUGGUAAAUUCCAUCUAAGGCUAAAUACUGGCGAGAGACCGAUAGCGAACAAGUACUGUGAAGGAAAGAUGAAAAGCACUUUGAAAAGAGAGUGAAACAGCACGUGAAAUUGUUGAAAGGGAAGGGUAUUGCGCCCGACAUGGGGAUUGCGCACCGCUGCCUCUCGUGGGCGGCGCUCUGGGCUUUCCCUGGGCCAGCAUCGGUUCUUGCUGCAGGAGAAGGGGUUCUGGAACGUGGCUCUUCGGAGUGUUAUAGCCAGGGCCAGAUGCUGCGUGCGGGGACCGAGGACUGCGGCCGUGUAGGUCACGGAUGCUGGCAGAACGGCGCAACACCGCCCGUCUGA